GACGAACGCUGGCGGCGUGCUUAACACAUGCAAGUCGAACGGAAAGGCCCUGCUUUUGUUGGUUGCUCGAUUGGCGAACGGGUGAGUAACACGUGAGUAACCUGCCCUUGACUUUGGGAUAACUUCAGGGAACUGGGGCUAAUACCGGAUAGGAGCUCCUGCUGCAUGGUGGGGGUUGGUAAGUUUCGGCUGUUGGGGAUCGACUCGCGGCUUAUCAGCUUGUUUGUGGGGUAGUGGCUGACCAAGCCUUUGACGGGUAGCCGGCCUGAGAGGGGUACCGGGAACCUGGGGCCUGAGGGAGGGAGCAGAAGGGAACGGGACGCAGCGGUGGGAAAUAUUGCACAACGGGGGGACGCCUGAUGCAGAAAUGCCGCGUGCGUAAUGCCCGCCUUCGGGGUGAAAACAGAUUUGGACUGUGCUGAAGCGGGCGUGACGGUACCGGGUCAAGAAGCCACGGCUAACUACGUG
rnacentral:rRNA from 1 species